UACGUAGGUGGCAAGCGUUGUCCGGAUUUACUGGGCGUAAAGGGCGUGCAGGCGGUUUGUUAAGUCUAGGGUGAAAGCUCCCGGCUCAACUGGGAGAGGUCCUUGGAUACUGGCGGACUUGAGGGAGGCAGAGGAAAGUGGAAUUCCCGGUGUAGUGGUGAUAUGCGUAGAUAUCGGGAGGAACACCAGUGGCGAAGGCGGCUUUCUGGGCCUUACCUGACGCUGAGACGCGAAAGCGUGGGGAGCGAACCGG
rnacentral:rRNA from 1 species